AGUGAACGCUGGCGGUAGGCCUAACACAUGCAAGUCGAACGGCAGCACAGGAGAGCUUGCUCUCUGGGUGGCGAGUGGCGGACGGGUGAGGAAUACAUCGGAAUCUGCCCAGUCGUGGGGGAUAACGUAGGGAAACUUACGCUAAUACCGCAUACGACCUUCGGGUGAAAGAGGGGGAUCGCAAGACCUCUCGCGAUUGGAUGAGCCGAUGUCGGAUUAGCUAGUUGGCGGGGUAAUGGCCCACCAAGGCGACGAUCCGUAGCUGGUCUGAGAGGAUGAUCAGCCACACUGGAACUGAGACACGGUCCAGACUCCUACGGGAGGCAGCAGUGGGGAAUAUUGGACAAUGGGCGCAAGCCUGAUCCAGCCAUACCGCGUGGGUGAAGAAGGCCUUCGGGUUGUAAAGCCCUUUUGUUGGGAAGGAAAUCUUUCAGGCUAAUACCCUGGGAGGAUGACGGUACCCAAAGAAUAAGCACCGGCUAACUUCGUG
rnacentral:rRNA from 1 species